CACCUUUUUGGGCCAAAUCCUGUGAUCCACACUCUGCAAGGCUGAAGAAGCAGACCUUUCUCUGGGGGUUGAAGGAUGCUGCACAGUACUAACCCCCAUUCCGCAGGGGGGUUACUUUCUUUGCUGAGGAUCUGUAGCUCUGAACUGGCUGAAACUCACUGCUAUCCUUAGCUUCCAGCCCUGGCAGCAGGAGGAAAUGCUACAAAACUCAGAAGCUGACUGCUCUAUGGAGAAAGAGUGUUUUCAGUUUUCUACUUCCGAAAAGAAACAAUCAGGGGUUUCAUCUAGAAAAGAGGAAGACAAGCACUGAAGUCUACUGUAAUCUUUGACAAGCUCAGAGCUGAAGAAGGAUCACAGAACUACAGAAUUUCAGGGAUUGGAAGUGACCUCUAGAGAUGACCAAGUCCAACCCACUGCUCAAGCAGCUUCCCUACAGUAAGUAGGUCUCACAGGGCUUCGAAGUCACUCUUUGUUCUGGGUGCCCCAUUCUGGCGGUGGAUCAGGAAAGGAAGUUACUGUCAUUUGGACCACUGCUUUAUCUGUCUUAGCACUGGUACCCACUGGAAGCAUCCAGGAGAAUGCAAAAGGUGAAUCUAAUGCUCUGAGGACAAAGCGCUCCAGAAAGUCACGCGAAGAAAAAGCUCCCAGGAGUCUUCAUUAAGCUUCAGAAACAGCAAGUCCUGCAGCCAGGCUGGUCUUGCCAGAAGGAAGAGGCUGAAAUUACUAACAAAAAAUCUGAUCAUGGUUUCUAAUUGAUUCAGCCUCUCCUCAAUUCUUUUUUCUUUGUGAGUCUUUGGAUUCUGAUUUGUUUUGUGUGUUUGUUUGUUUUUUGUUUGUUUGUUUUGUUUUUUUAAUUACUGUGGUAUCUACUUCAGUAUCAGCUUCUUUACUACCUCAGUUGUAGAACUGCAUACUUAAAUGUUCAAGUUAAAUCGCCUCUAUAUCAGCACAGCACAGACAAGAUAGGGGCCUGUGGCAUGUACAGAAGUGCAGUGGUCAGGAUAUAACUGAUAUUAUUGUGCCUUCAUUAUGAAUGAUAAAAUGGUGUAGUUAACAACAGCAUACAAGACAAACACAAAGACCUAGGAAUAGGUAGGACAAGCAGCAUUAAUAGCAAGACAAAAGCAAAUGAGAUAAGCAGUAUAGGAACAAAGCCCCUUUUUGGAGAGGGGCAGCAGUGUAAAAACAUUAGGAAUAAACAAAAGCCCCAAAUUCUCCUACUCUCAGAUCUGAUCUUGGUGACUGAGUGAUGAGGGACCACUUCCAAACUAUUAGCUCCACGGUACUGUGCCAUCACAGCUAAUUUAGGCUAUGACUGUAAAGGACUAAGAGUUUUCUCCAUGUAGUAAUGAUGGUUAAUAUUGUGUAAGAAUUGCCCAUUAGCAAGUGUAUUGCUAAUGAACGAAUUUAGCAGGCAAUUUAUCUGAAGAGUUUAAGGUUGGCCUGAUUUGUCAGCCUCCUAAACACUCCUAUCACAGAGAUCUUUAACAGCCUAGCUAAUACAAAGGUGUACUCAGAUGUAAAGGUAGGACCUACCUAAGCUGCUGCUGAACCUUGUGUUAGCUAUAUAUAAGUACAGUUUUAUUUGCACACUAAAAGCUGCAGUGUAGCCAGUAGCAACCUGUGAACUGCCCAGUGUUAUUAUUUCUGCCCCUUGUUUAGAACCUGAAAGACUUGAAAGGUGAAACACCAACUGCUGGGGCAGGAGGUCAUUUGCUUGAUAGUUUCAUGCACUAAGAGUCCUGUUUUCAAGCUCUUCCAACUACAGUAGAUGCAUAUUUACUUUUCAGUUAAAGUGGAGUUUUCUUGUUUGUUAAAGUGACUUCAGGUGAUGGAGCUGCAAGGAGGAAUUCAAACACGCUGUGAUCAUCAUUGUAAAUCACAUGUAUUGGCAAGUCUAUUCCAACUAAAAACCCAAUUUAUUAAAGAUUUAAACUGUUCUUUGACUGACAAUGAGAUUACAAUCAUGUUACAUUUUUAAUCUCUUUUAACGAGGGCAAGGAAUUUAAGCAAUCCACAGACUCAGCCUCAGAAUGAAGACAAUCCUUCUUUAUUUCAGACUCAGCAAAGCAUUUUUCAGACUCAGUCUUUUAUGCUGGGAGCUCACAGAUCAGCCCCCUCAUGCUGCCCUGCCUACCAGCUUGUCUGGAAACCUUGUUCUGCUGCACUGCAAUUAAGCACAGAACUUUUUCUCAUGCUCAAGGUGAACUCGAUGUUGCUAAAGAUGUUUUGGCCCCAGUUCUCCAUCAAAGUAACUAUAAGCAACUGUAGCACACCUUCAACAUUUACAAGAGAAAAUUGAAUGAGAAGAAUGCUAUUUAUUAUGCUUGUGUAAAGGCCAGCUUGAGCUAUAAUUAGGCAGCGCUCAGCUGGAUGUGGAGGAGGUCCCUGAGCUGUAAUAUAAUAUCUGUGUGGUAUAAGAGUAGAAACAAAUCUAUAAUGCCAGCCCACAAAGCAAAUAAAACUGAGAAUAAAAUUGAGCAAUUAAGAAUAAAUAAAUGCAGGACUGCAACCUGCAUCAGAUUUCCAAACCACAUUUUAGCCCAAUGCUUCCUUUUAGCUGACAGAUGACCUCCUUCCAUGUUUGAAUGUUUCUGUCACAGAUAAGAGAGAGAAGGAAAGACAGAGACAGUUGGGGUGGCUCUGGGAGAGCUGAGGCCACACCAAGGUGUCAUGAAGCACUGAGGGCGCUGGCGGAAGCACGGUCACCCUUGGAAGGAGGGAGUAUGGCAGUGCAGAGUCCUGCAGGUCCAUCCCAGCUGCCCAGCACCGUCCCUCCUUCCCAGGAAAUUUACUUCCAGCCAACAGCACCACAAAAUCUGCACACUGCUGCUUGGUGUGAUUUCAACCAGAUGUGAGUAGCUCCAAAGUUCAUAAAUGGGUUCAGAGAAGAUGGGAAUUAAGGAGAGCACCAAGGAGAAGCCCCGUUCUAAGCACCUGCACCUCCUGGUGGCCCUCUGGUUACUCACUGAUGUCCUGCUCCCUGGA